rnacentral:rRNA from 1 species
GUGGCGGAUGGGCAUGCGGCGCAUUAGCUAGUCGGCGGGGUAACGGCCCACCGAGGCGACGAUGCGUAGGGGUUCUGAGAGGAAGGUCCCCCACACUGGUACUGAGACACGGACCAGACUCCUACGGGAGGCAGCAGUGAGGAAUAUUGGUCAAUGGGCGCGAGCCUGAACCAGCCAAGUCGCGUGAGGGAUGACGGUCCUACGGAUUGUAAACCUCUUUUGCCGGGGAGCAAGCGUGCGUUCGUGAACGCGCGUCGAGAGUACCCGGAGAAAAAGCAUCGGCUAACUCCGUGCCAGCAGCCGCGGUAAUACGGAGGAUGCGAGCGUUAUCCGGAUUUAUUGGGUUUAAAGGGUGCGUAGGCGGGAUGCCAAGUCAGCGGUAAAAAUGCGGUGCUCAACGCCGUCGAGCCGUUGAAACUGGCGUUCUUGAGUGGGCGAGAAGUAUGCGGAAUGCGUGGUGUAGCGGUGAAAUGCAUAGAUAUCACGCAGAACUCCGAUUGCGAAGGCAGCAUACCGGCGCCCUACUGACGCUGAGGCACGAAAGCGUGGGUAUCGAACAGGAUUAGAUACCCUGGUAGUCCACGCAGUAAACGAUGAAUGCUAACUGUCCGGCUCGAAUGAGCGCUGG